GCUCCAAUAGCGUAUAUUAAAGUUGUUGUGGUUAAAAAGCUCGUAGUUGGAUCUCAGUUUGAGUCAGGCGGUCCACUUGCCAGUGGCUACUGCCUGACUGAACACUUUACCGAGUUGUCCUAUGGUGUUCUUCACCGAGCGUCAUAGGCGAUCGGUACGUUUACUUUGACAAAAUUAGAGUGCUCAAAGCAGGCGUAACGCCCGAAUAAUGUUGCAUGGAAUAAUGGAAUAGGACCUCGGUUCUAUUUUGUUGGUCUUCGGAAUCAGGGGUAAUGAUCAAUAGGGACAGACGGGGACAUUCGUAUUGCGGCGCUAGAGGUGAAAUUCUUGGACCGUCGCAAGACGAACUAAAGCGAAAGCAUUUGUCAAGAAUGUUUUCAUUAAUCAAGAACGAAAGUUAGAGGUUCGAAGGCGAUCAGAUACCGCCCUAGUUCUAGCCAUAAACGAUGCCAACCAGUAAUUCGUCUGAGUUCCCUAAAUGACUCGGCGAGGGACUUCCGGGAAACCAAAGUCUUUCGGUUCCAGGGGAAGUAUGGUUGCAAAGCUGAAACUUAAAGAAAUUGACGGAAGGGCACCACCAGGAGUGGAGCCUGCGGCUUAAUUUGACCCAACACGGGAAAACUCACCCGGCCCGGACACUGGAAGGAUUGACAGAUUGAGAGCUCCUUGAUUCAGUGGGUGGUGGUGCAUGGCCGUUCUUAGUUGGUGGAGUGAUUUGUCUGGUUAAUUCCGAUAACGAACGAGACUCUAGCCUACUAAAUAGAUCGUCGGCUUACAAACGCCGGCGAGACUUCUUAGAGGGACAGGCGGUGAUUCAACCGCACGAAACAGAGCAAUAACAGGUCUGUGAUCCCCUUAGAUGUCCGGGGCCGCACGCGCGCUACACUGAAGUGAUCAGCGUGCUUUUUUCAACCUACUCUGUCAAGAGUGGGGAACCCAAUGAACCUUCUUCGUGAUUGGGAUAGGGGAUUGUAAUUAUUCCCCUUGAACGAGGAAUUCCCAGUAAGCGCGAGUCAUAAGCUCGCGUUGAUUACGUCCCUGCCCUUUGUACACACCGCCCGUCGCUACUACCGAUUGAAUGUUUUAGUGAGGUCUUCGGGCUGGCCGGCGCAGCACUCUCGUAGUGCAGCGCUGUGUUUGGAAAGAUGCCCAAACUUGAACAUUUAGAGGAAGUAAAAGUCGUAACAAGGUUUCCGUAGGUGAACCUGCGGAAG
rnacentral:rRNA from 1 species